GACGAACCGUGCGAACGUUGUUCGGAAUCACUGGGCUUAAAGGGCGCGUAGGCGGGCCGGACGGUCCGGGGUGAAAUCCCCCCGCUCAACGGGGGAACGGCCCCGGACACCGCCGGCCUCGAGGGGGGUAGGGGCGAGCGGAACGCUGGGUGGAGCGGUGAAAUGCGUUGAUAUCGACCGGAACUCCGGUGGCGAAGGCGAGGUGCUGGACCCUUUCUGACGCUGAGGCGCGAAAGCCAGGGGAGCAAACGGG
rnacentral:rRNA from 1 species